UUUGCCUACGGGACGCAGCAGUGGGGGAUAUUGCACAAUGGGGGGAACCCUGAUGCAGCGACGCCGCGUGGGUGAAGAAGCGCCUCGGCGCGUAAAGCCCUGUCAGCAGGGAAGAAAAUGACGGUACCUGAAGAAGAAGCCCCGGCUAACUACGUGCCAGCAGCCGCGGUAAUACGUAGGGGGCAAGCGUUAUCCGGAUUUACUGGGUGUAAAGGGGGCGCAGACGGCAGCGCAAGUCUGGAGUGAAAUGCCGGGGCCCAACCCCGGAACUGCUUUGGAAACUGUGCAGCUGGAGUGCAGGAGAG
rnacentral:rRNA from 1 species